AGCGAACGCUGGCGGCAGGCCUAACACAUGCAAGUCGAACGAACUCUUCGGAGUUAGUGGCGGACGGUUGAGUAACACGUGGGAACGUGCCUUUUGGUUCGGAAUAACUCAGGGAAACUUGUGCUAAUACCGAAUGUGCCCUUCGGGGGAAAGAUUUAUCGCCAUUAGAGCGGCCCGCGUCUGAUUAGCUAGUUGGUGAGGUAACGGCUCACCAAGGCGACGAUCAGUAGCUGGUCUGAGAGGAUGACCAGCCACACUGGGACUGAGACACGGCCCAGACUCCUACGGGAGGCAGCAGUGGGGAAUCUUGCGCAAUGGGCGAAAGCCUGACGCAGCCAUGCCGCGUGAAUGAUGAAGGUCUUAGGAUUGUAAAAUUCUUUCACCGGGGACGAUAAUGACGGUACCCGGAGAAGAAGCCCCGGCUAACUUCGUG
rnacentral:rRNA from 1 species